UCCCUGAUAGCUCAGUUGGUAAAGAAUCCGCCUGCAAAGCAGGAGACCUGGGUUCGAUCCCUGGCUGGGAA
rnacentral:tRNA from 1 species